CCUACGGGAGGCAGCAGUGAGGAAUAUUGGUCAAUGGUCGGGAGACUGAACCAGCCAAGCCGCGUGAGGGAGGAAGGUACAGAGUAUCGUAAACCUCUUUUGUCAGGGAACAAAGGCCGGGACGUGUCCCCGGAUGAGUGUACCUGAAGAAAAAGCAUCGGCUAACUCCGUGCCAGCAGCCGCGGUAAUACGGAGGAUGCGAGCGUUAUCCGGAUUUAUUGGGUUUAAAGGGUGCGCAGGCGGUCUUUUAAGUCAGCGGUGAAAGCCCGGGGCUCAACCCCGGCCCGGCGGUGGAACCUGGCAGUCUCGAGUUGGAGAGAGGUAGGCGGAAUGCGUGGUGUAGCGGUGAAAUGCAUAGAUAUCGCGCAGAACUCCGAUUGCGAAGGCAGCAUGCCGGCUCCACACUGACGCUGAUGCUCGAAAGCGCGGGUAUCGAACAGGAGUAGAUACCCCAGUAGUC
rnacentral:rRNA from 1 species